UAAACCUUGUGCUAUUUGCUGAAUCCUCUCUUGUCAAUUUCCUCCAUUCAUUACAGGGAGCAAAAAUGUGGCUAAAUCUUGUGUCCUUACUAGUAUUCCUCAAAGGAGCCCAAUCUCAAAUCCAGUUGGUGGAAUCUGGAGGAGAUGUGAGAAGACCUGAAGAGUCCCUCCGUCUCUCCUGCCAAGCCUCGGGCUUCACCUUCAGCAGCUACCACAUGCACUGGGUGAGACAGGCUCCAGGGAAAGGACUGGAAUGGGUGUCAUACAUCUAUACUGAUUCCAGUGGAAAGUUCUACUCGGACAAAGUGAAGGGCCGCUUCACCGUCUCCAGGGACAAUGCCAAAAGCCAGCUGUAUCUGCAAAUGAACAGCCUCAAAGCUGAAGACACGGCAAUUUAUUACUGUGCAAGAGACACAGUGAGAGGAAGUGAAUCUGAAGCCAAACAAAAACCUUCCUUUCUUCAGAGCAUUUCUUCAACUUGUCUAAGGCGCCAAUCCUGGGUUAUCAAUGAGGGUUGGUUAUUGUCUAGUGAGAACUUCAGAACGAAUCCAGAAAAUAUUGGAGUUCCUCUCAAGGGAUCUCAAAACGAUUUAAUUCCUCACGACACCGAAAUCCUUACUGGGAAGCCCUACAGAUAA